rnacentral:rRNA from 1 species
AACGCUGGCGGCGUGCCUAAUACAUGCAAGUCGAACGCUUCUUUUUCCACCGGAGCUUGCUCCACCGGAAAAAGAGGAGUGGCGAACGGGUGAGUAACACGUGGGUAACCUGCCCAUCAGAAGGGGAUAACACUUGGAAACAGGUGCUAAUACCGUAUAACAAUCGAAACCGCAUGGUUUUGAUUUGAAAGGCGCUUUCGGGUGUCGCUGAUGGAUGGACCCGCGGUGCAUUAGCUAGUUGGUGAGGUAACGGCUCACCAAGGCCACGAUGCAUAGCCGACCUGAGAGGGUGAUCGGCCACAUUGGGACUGAGACACGGCCCAAACUCCUACGGGAGGCAGCAGUAGGGAAUCUUCGGCAAUGGACGAAAGUCUGACCGAGCAACGCCGCGUGAGUGAAGAAGGUUUUCGGAUCGUAAAACUCUGUUGUUAGAGAAGAACAAGGAUGAGAGUAACUGUUCAUCCCUUGACGGUAUCUAACCAGAAAGCCACGGCUAACUACGUGCCAGCAGCCGCGGUAAUACGUAGGUGGCAAGCGUUGUCCGGAUUUAUUGGGCGUAAAGCGAGCGCAGGCGGUUUCUUAAGUCUGAUGUGAAAGCCCCCGGCUCAACCGGGGAGGGUCAUUGGAAACUGGGAGACUUGAGUGCAGAAGAGGAGAGUGGAAUUCCAUGUGUAGCGGUGAAAUGCGUAGAUAUAUGGAGGAACACCAGUGGCGAAGGCGGCUCUCUGGUCUGUAACUGACGCUGAGGCUCGAAAGCGUGGGGAGCAAACAGGAUUAGAUACCCUGGUAGUCCACGCCGUAAACGAUGAGUGCUAAGUGUUGGAGGGUUUCCGCCCUUCAGUGCUGCAGCUAACGCAUUAAGCACUCCGCCUGGGGAGUACGACCGCAAGGUUGAAACUCAAAGGAAUUGACGGGGGCCCGCACAAGCGGUGGAGCAUGUGGUUUAAUUCGAAGCAACGCGAAGAACCUUACCAGGUCUUGACAUCCUUUGACCACUCUAGAGAUAGAGCUUCCCCUUCGGGGGCAAAGUGACAGGUGGUGCAUGGUUGUCGUCAGCUCGUGUCGUGAGAUGUUGGGUUAAGUCCCGCAACGAGCGCAACCCUUAUUGUUAGUUGCCAUCAUUCAGUUGGGCACUCUAGCAAGACUGCCGGUGACAAACCGGAGGAAGGUGGGGAUGACGUCAAAUCAUCAUGCCCCUUAUGACCUGGGCUACACACGUGCUACAAUGGGAAGUACAACGAGUCGCGAAGUCGCGAGGCUAAGCUAAUCUCUUAAAGCUUCUCUCAGUUCGGAUUGCAGGCUGCAACUCGCCUGCAUGAAGCCGGAAUCGCUAGUAAUCGCGGAUCAGCACGCCGCGGUGAAUACGUUCCCGGGCCUUGUACACACCGCCCGUCACACCACGAGAGUUUGUAACACCCGAAGUCGAUGAGGUAACCUUUUGGAGCCAGCCGCCUAAGGUGGGAU